CACCGCGGUUACACGUGAGGCCCAAAUAGACAAGCAGACGGCGUAAAGCGUGACCAAGGACCAAAAAAACAAUAAAGUGAAACGCUCUUUGCGCUGUUCCACGCCAAUUAGAAUAAGGAGGCCCAUCUACGAAAGUGACUUUAUUUGCCCCUACCCACUAAAGCUUUGACA
rnacentral:rRNA from 1 species